rnacentral:lncRNA from 1 species
AUUCAGGGAACCAGUAUAUUCCUUGAGACACCAAACCCAGCAUACUCUUCUACAAUGAACAGAAAUAUGUAUACGCCUAGACCAUUUUCAAGUUAUCAUGAAUCACCGCAAUUAAUGCCUCAGCUAGACCAAAGUCAAAGAACCUAGAAAUACCAAAAGGACUGAAGUAUGAUGGUUCAUCAAGUUGGAAAACUUUUUACACCAAGUUUC